GUCCUACGGGGGGCAGCAGUGGGGAAUAUUGCACAAUGGGGGAAACCCUGAUGCAGCGACGCCGCGUGAGCGAUGAAGUAUUUCGGUAUGUAAAGCUCUAUCGGCAGGGAAGAAGAUGACGGUACCUGACUAAGAAGCCCCAGCUAACUACGUGCCAGCAGCCGCGGUAAUACGUAGGGGGCAAGCGUUAUCCGGAUUUACUGGGUGUAAAGGGAGCGUAGACGGCGAUGCAAGCCAGAUGUGAGAGCCCGGGGCUCAACCCCGGGACUGCAUUUGGAACUGGGUGGCUGGCGUGUCGGAGAGGG
rnacentral:rRNA from 1 species